UCCUGGCCUCAAGCUAUCCUCCUGCUUUAGCCUCCCAAGGUGCUGGGAUUGCAGGCGUGAGCCACGGUGCCCACCCAUUCGUUACAAUUGAAUCCAUUACUGUGGCCUCAUCAUCUAUUUGCCAAGUUGUUGCCUUGUAAUCAGACCUUCCUGGAAGUAAGAUGACCCGAAGAUUCAGAUUGCUUCACCACUUUAAUCAGAUUUUUCAUGAAUUGAUUAAUCACUCUUAGGACCACAUCCCUUACGUUUUGGCUAGGAAUGACAUGCCUUCAUGCAUUCCACUACAGCUACAAAUAAACUUCCAGUUCCUUCAACACUUGGUCCUCUUCCUUCAAUAUCCGUUAUUAAGAACACCUCCAAAACUCAGCCUUGAAUCCCUGAAGCUAGUUUACAUUUUGCCUUCUUCCUCAAUUACACGCUUACUCAGUUGCUUAGGCUACUUGGAUCUGCUUGUAGUCUUUCUCAUCCAUAGUUGCUUUCCUCUCUCUCCAUGCCUGCUUUAGUUCCAUCCUUCUUCCAGGACUCCUAAGUAAGCUUUAUUUAUUUAUUUAUUUAUUUAUUUAUUUUUGUUAUUUUUGUUUCUACCAAAUUGACAUUUCUAUCCUAAGUAAGCUUUAGAAUGACACUGUGUCUUCUAUCUUUUCUCCUUAGAUUGCCAGAUGUUUCUUUCGGUAUUAGAACUGCUGAUCCUUCCUCUCCGUUCUAAAUUUGCAACAUUAACUACUCAUAACUACGAGUGGUUUAUUUACCUUUCAAUAUUAGGACUUAAAAGAUAAACUGACUUAAAGUAAUACAGGAACUUUUUAAAGACUGGCACUUUAUAGUUUAUUGGGUGCAACUGGAAAAGCUCCUCACAGCUAUGCCAUCUUGUAAUUAAAUGUUUCUGUUAUUUUGGAAGUGCUACAAGAGGUUCUGAGUCAUACAUUGGAUAAUAAAAUGUUAGAGCAAACAUUUAUACACUUAGGCAAAUACUGUGCUUGGAUGGAAUAUUCUUAAAAUCUCUUCCUGCUAAAUCAACUAAUCUUUUGAUCUCCUUUUUUUUUUUUUCCUCAUACUCUACCUUUUUCCCUGGUUCUGAUAAAAUGAAGCUUUUAAUACGGUUACCUUUGUAGUCGGUGCCUCAUUGCUUAGCCCUGUGGAGUUAAUGAGGCCAAGGAUACUGGUUUGAUUUCCCCGUGGAUCAGUUUCUUCUUGUUCUGCUCGUGUGUAGUCACAGACUGUCCUUCAAACCAGGGCCAACCAUUUCACAAAUGUCAG